AAUUCUCAACCCCGAUCGGAUUUGUUUCUGACUCGGAGGCUUGGAUCGUGGAGCGUGCUGGCCCCUACCCGGGUCGGCUCCUCUCAAAUGCAUUCGCGGAAUCGACUUUGGUCCGUUUCGGUCAUCAGUGUGAUAAUAUGUUGCGCUGUUGGCUAGGAUCGAGGUGCCGCAUACAAUGGUCUUCGGACAACUUCAUAUCA
rnacentral:misc_RNA from 1 species